rnacentral:lncRNA from 1 species
UGAAAUAAAUGAAUAAUAUGAAAACGAAAAGCUAAAAGCAUAGAAAGAAGAACCAGCAGGAGGAAAACAAUAAUGAAAAAGUUAAAUGAAGAAAAGAAAAAGCGAAGAAAAAAAUAUUCGACAGCUAAACAUAGAAGAGUCGUACAGAAAACAGCUCAGUUGCAAUUGAGUUGUUGACCGUGGCGGACUUGAAAUAUUAGCGAGUUCUCACGUUUAUAAGUUCUUUUUUAAGAUUGUAAAAAAAUAUAUAUAUAUAUAAAAAAUAAAAUACUGAAGUAAAAAAAAAACAAAUUGGAAAAAAAGUUUUACACACAUCCAUAGAGAAAAAUAUUACUGUUAGCAAAGGUGUGGAGCACUUACAGGCCGUAAAAGACUUAAAAAAAACGCAAGCAUUUUUUUAAUUUUAACAAAAAAACCAACAGCAAGCAGUAGUUUAUAAAAUUCUCCAAUAAAGGAUUUAACUACCAAAAACAACAACAGCUUUAAAUUUUUUUAAAUUAAACCCUUUUAAACA